UCCGUAGACGGCGAGAACAGAGAAGGGGUUACCAGGGGCGCCUCCAUCUUCACAGCAUGAAGGUUGGAGGGUCCCUGGCCCCACCUGGCUGGGGAUGGAGUGUAGCCGAGGAGAUGCCAUGUGAGGGUGCAGCCAGGAGUCGGGCCGUCUAAAAGCAAAGGAAGAGAUUUCAUCAGACACCGCAUCUGCUGACACCUUGUUCUUGGACUUCCAGCUUCCAAAACCGCGAGAAAUAAAUGUCUGUGUCUACUGACUGAGACACCUGGUUAGACCGGAAUAAGCAGCUGCAAUCGGUAGCAGUCACCAUUGAACAUCCUUGAAGCAAUUCUUCCAAA
rnacentral:lncRNA from 1 species